rnacentral:lncRNA from 1 species
GUUUCAAUAUUUUUAUUACGCUAGAAGUGCAUUUUAUUCGGAAAACAAGAUUUUGAACUAUUUUUCAAAUAAUUUUAUAAAAGACAUGUAUUAGUCGUUUUAGCGUUACUAGGAAAUAUUUAUGAAUUAAGAUUAAGAUUAUGUCGUGAGAAUACUUUUUGACAACAAUGGUCAUCAAUGUAAUUUAUUUGUCAACACCCAAACUGUAUAUAGAGUGAAUAAUGUCAAUUAACACUAAGUCUUAAUUUAAUCUGCU